GUGGCUAUAGCUUAGCCGGUCAAAAGCGCCUGCCCGUGAAGCAGGAGAGCGAGAGUUCAAAUCUCUCUAGCCACC
rnacentral:tRNA from 1 species